UACGAAGGGGGCGAGCGUUGUUCGGAAUUACUGGGCGUAAAGGGCGCGCAGGCGGCGCCAGGAGUCAGAUGUGAAAGCCCCGGGCUCAACCUGGGAACCGGCAUUUGAUACUCUGGUGCUGGAGUACGGGAGAGGAGAGUGGAAUUCCCAGUGUAGAGGUGAAAUUCGUAGAUAUUGGGAAGAACACCGGUGGCGAAGGCGGCUCUCUGGACCGUAACUGACGCUGAGGCGCG
rnacentral:rRNA from 1 species